rnacentral:rRNA from 1 species
UACGAAGGGGGGCUAGCGUUGUUCGGAAUCACUGGGCGUAAAGCGCACGUAGGCGGAUCUUUUAAGUCAGGGGUGAAAUCCCGAGGCUCAACCUCGGAACUGCCUUUGAUACUGGGGAUCUCGAGUCCGGGAGAGGUGAGUGGAACUGCGAGUGUAGAGGUGAAAUUCGUAGAUAUUCGCAAGAACACCAGUGGCGAAGGCGGCUCACUGGCCCGAUACUGACGCUGAGGCACGAAAGCGUGGGGAGCAAACAGG